UGGGUAAUAGUUAAUAUAUAACAUUUAAAUUGCGUUUAAAAAUAAUUUUUGUAAAAUUUAUCUA
rnacentral:tRNA from 1 species